rnacentral:misc_RNA from 1 species
CGAAAGGAGUACUCGUACUCUUAAACCCUAUGUGAACAUACCUUUAGUCAGUUGCUUCGGCGGGAGGCCCCUGGGAGGGGUCCCGGGGCCCGGCCUGAGCCGGGCUCCCGCCGGAGGAGCGCAACCAGAGCUCUUGCUGUAACCCAGUGGCACGUCCGAGUAAACAAACAAAAACAAGUUA